AUAUACCUACUCACUGGACUAGAAUCAUAAAGCUACUUCUUUUAAGUAACUGUCUUGGGCAGAAGGUGGUAAUAUUCCACAUUCGGUUAUUUUCAGGAAGCUGAGGCAAUUUUUGAGGAAAUCAGCCCGACACCGUUACAACUUGUUGGAUACGGAGUGGGUUUGGUAGCAGCAGCAUAUGCAUUGGGUGAGUGGGAGAAGACACUACAAUACAUUGGAGUUUUUGGCCUAUGUCAGG